UGAUCAGAGAACUUCUUUUUACAGUGGUCAGCAGUGACUGCAGACACUAGUCAAAGUGCUGAGAAUAAGUGAUUGCUGAGUGAUCAGCCAUAAAUGGGACAUCUUAUAUCAGGAAACACAGGAGCAGACAGUGGGAAGAAUGAGGAGAUGGAGGGAAGAUGAAGGAUGCUCACCCCCAGACACAUCAUGGCUGUUGCACUCUCUGAUGACCUUCAAAAGACACACACUGAAAUCUCUAAGUUUGGAAUGAUAUACUGUCUGGGAUUCUCUCCAAAAUAAAGGAAAUGGAUGAAAAGAUACUUGGAA